AUUGAACGCUGGCGGCAGGCCUAACACAUGCAAGUCGAGCGGCAGCGGGAAAGUAGCUUGCUACUUUUGCCGGCGAGCGGCGGACGGGUGAGUAAUGCCUGGGAAAUUGCCCAGUCGAGGGGGAUAACAGUUGGAAACGACUGCUAAUACCGCAUACGCCCUACGGGGGAAAGCAGGGGACCUGCGCGCCUUGCGCGAUUGGAUAUGCCCAGGUGGGAUUAGCUAGUUGGUGAGGUAAUGGCUCACCAAGGCGACGCUCCCUAGCUGGUCUGAGAGGAUGAUCAGCCACACUGGAACUGAGACACGGUCAAGACUCCUACGGGAGGCAGCAGUGGGGAAUAUUGCACAAUGGGGGAAACCCUGAUGCAGCCAUGCCGCGUGUGUGAAGAAGGCCUUCGGGUUGUAAAGCACUUUCAGCGAGGAGGAAAGGUUGAUGCCUAAUACGUAUCAACUGUGACGUUACUCGCAGAAGAAGCACCGGCUAACUCCGUGCCAGCAGCCGCCGUAAAAC
rnacentral:rRNA from 1 species